AUAAUAUCUAAAUUUUUGUCCAGAGUUGAUUGGGUGCAGUUUCUUAGCUGUGUUUCUUAAUACAUUGUGUCCAUGUUUUAAAGCAUAUAGAAAUUUGAAUACUGUUUAACCUCAUAUAGUCCUUGUUUAUAGGUUUAAUAUUUCUAAAGACUAAAGACAUAACAGCUCCCUUUAACAUACAGUAAUACUAACAAAAUUUGAGAUAUACAGGGUUAGAAUCCAACAAAUUCAAAGGAAAAUUGUUAAAUUAUAUAGCUGUAGAGCAGGAAUGAAACCCAGGUUCUAAGUUCCAAGGGGGCCAUGAGCUACCAUACAGGUGCAUCAGUGACUGGGCAUAGAGUUGGCGAAAUUAUGUAAAAGAGUGAGCUGUGGAUCCUAAUUAUGUGAACAUGAAUUUUUGAACUGCAUGGUGCCUCAGUUUAUCCAUCAUUGCAGUGGGGACAGUAGUAAGUUUUUUUCUGCUCAGUUGUCUGAAUUAUUACCCCGGUCUGUCUUGUUGCCACUCUUGAUGCCCACAUGAGAGGAUCUAAGGUAAUUUCUGACACCUGGGACUCCUUAAGGAAAAACAAGAUUCCACAAACCCCGUUUUAGGAGAAACCUCUGUUUUUGCCAUGGAACCCCAAUAACUUUAAGCAGACAGGUCUCUCUCAAAAAUCUAAGGCUCUCUUCUGUUUUGCCUUGCAUUGUCUGACCUUUUUGGUUUGGGUGGGCAUCAGAAAUUAGUAGGGGAGAGAGAUCUAAAGAAAAUUGUGGAUAUGAAGAUGUAUUUAUUGUAAGAAAUGUUAUGAAGGAAAGAAAUGUUAUAUGAGAGAGGAUCUUAUAUGGCAAAUGGUUGUCCUAAAGUAGAAUGACUAAUUACGAAAGAGGGAAAUACAGGACAGGUCAGAUAAAUUUAAUCAUGUUGUAGAUGGUCUGUGGAAGUUGUGUUAUGGUUCAUAAAAUGGGAAAGAAAAUCUUAACAACUGCUAGAUCUUUUCUUGUCUAGAAGUGUUGUGCAUGUGAUGUAUAUAUAAUGGCUUGGCUUAAAAGAAAAUGAAAGCUCUUAAAUAUUUUGUCAGAAAAAUAGAAGCUGUAAUGCCUUUUAUUUCAUGUGACUUCAGUGAUCUUUGGGAAAUAAAGACAGUGUUAAAUCAGUUAAAAUCAGUGGUAAAAUAAAAAUAUCUUCAAAAUUUAUCCAUUUGGUCUAAUUGAAGUCAGAGGUUAAGUUUUAGAAGCGCUUUAAUGUCAUAAAUUGAUUCUUUGACUUUGGAAAAUAGUUUCAUUUACCUGGUUUGGAGCCGUUAGAUUUCUAGAUAAGGUCUCCGGACAGGUGGAGUUAGCCAUGUCUCCUAGCUAUGCUGGAAAGAGUCAGAUUUUAUCUGCAGUUCUGUCUUGUAUCCUAGACUCUGCGCCUGGUAUGCAAUUAAAACUUACGCUGCUGCUAAUCUCUGGGUUCCAUUUAAAAUCCUUCCAUCACAUGAAUACUAUCCCCUGUACUAAAUUUUUCCACAAUUAAAUACUUAGAAUCAUUUUUGCUGACUUGACCCAACCAUUAGUGAUAUAUUUUAAAAACGCUUAUAAUGUGUCACAAUAUAUUUAGCAAAUGUAGGGAAUGACAUUUUUACUUUUGUCAGCAUUUACAUA
rnacentral:lncRNA from 10 species